AGUGAACGCUGGCGGCAGGCCUAACACAUGCAAGUCGAACGGCAGCACAGGAGAGCUUGCUCUCUGGGUGGCGAGUGGCGGACGGGUGAGGAAUACGUCGGAAUCUGCCUUUUUGUGGGG
rnacentral:rRNA from 1 species